CUAAGGAUAUCGGCGGAAAGCGCUGGAACUUGUUUCCAGAAGAGCUUCCUCCAUACCAAAGAACAUUGCCGCCGUCCUCAUGUCCCUUCAUCCUGGAAACACUCUCUUGACGAGAGUGAAGCCUGAGCUGGCCUUACGCCGCCUGCGGCCCUUAUGGGUCAGUCAUGGCACGGUGGGGGCCGGUAGCUCAGGUGGUUAGAGCGCACGCCUGAUAAGCGUGAGGUCGUAGGUUCAACUCCUACUCGGCCCACCAAUCUGACCAAAUAUGGUGCGGGGGCUUUAGCUCAACUGGUAGAGCACCUGCUUUGCAAGCAGGGGGUCAACGGUUCGAACCCGUUAAGCUCCACCAUUUUGUUUUUCCAGAGAUGAAGACAACUUUUUCCGCUGUUAACGCAGCGGAUUUGGCGGAUUUGCCGCCGUUCUUUGACAUUGUGAAUGGGUUUUUUAAUCGAUGCCGUGGCGGCAUGUUGCACAGCCAUAUCUUCGGACGUGGAUGGAUGACGUGCUGUUACAAAUCAAAAUAGAUU
rnacentral:tRNA from 1 species